rnacentral:rRNA from 1 species
GCUGGUGACGUGCCUAACACAUGCAAGUCAAACGAACCUUGAAAAUGAAGCCUCGGUGGAUUUUUCUCUGGUUAGUGGCAAACGGGUGAGUAAUACAUAGGUAACCUGCCUUAAAGUCUGGGAUAACUUUUCGAAAGAAAAGCUAAUACCGGAUAUUCUCAUUAAAUCAUAAGAUUCUAUGAGGAAAGUUUUUCGCUUUAAGAUGGGCUUAUGUCUGAUUAGCUAGUUGGUAAGAUAAAAGCUUACCAAGGCGACGAUCAGUAGCUGGUCUGAGAGGAUGUACAGCCACACUGGAACUGAGACACGGUCCAGACUCCUACGGGAGGCAGCAGUGAGGAAUAUUGCGCAAUGGGCGAAAGCCUGACGCAGCGACGUCACGUGAGCGAUGAAGUCUCUAGGGAUGUAAAGCUCUGUCAAGAGGGACGAUUAUGACGGUACCUCUAAAGGAAGCCCCGGCUAACUACGUGCCAGCAGCCGCGGUAAUACGUAGGGGGCAAGCGUUAUCCGGAUUUAUUGGGCAUAAAGAGCAUGUAGGCGGUUUUUUAAGUCAGGUGUUAAAGGCUUCAGCUUAACUGAAGUAUGCGCCUGAAACUGAGAGACUAGAGUUUAGUAGAGGAAAGCGGAACUCACGGUGUAGCGGUGAAAUGCGUAGAUAUCGUGAGGAACACCAGUUGCGAAGGCGGCUUUCUGGACUAAUACUGACGCUGAGAUGCGAAAGCGUGGGGAGCGAACGGGAUUAGAUACCCCGGUAGUCCACGCCGUAAACGUUGUUCACUAGGUGUUGGAGGUAUCGACCCCUUCAGUGCCACAGAAAAUUCGUUAAGUGAACCGCCUGGGAAG